UUAAGGAAGUGAAAUGUUUAUUUUAUAUAUACACAUGGUUAUUUAGGAGACAAUGCAAGCUGGCAGAUGCUAGGCAUUGUAUAUGUCACUGUAUAGAGAUCAUUGAUAUUUUAUGAUUGGUUAAUGAGUGAUCAUGUGAUUAUAGGCUUGUAUGUGAUUGGUUUACAUACCAAUGAUGGCUUGGUAUAAUUAUAGUGGGAAACUUGAAUUUAGUUAAGUUUUGUACAACACUUCAAGACUGAAGUUCUCUCUUCCGGCAAGGGUGCCGUGAAUGCCUCUGUUGAUUGCUGAGUUGACAUUAAAGUUAAGAUUUGAAAUUACAGUAUAUCUGUGUUGGCUGAAUUGUUUGAAGUACAUUGGUUUGCUGGAGUUGAUGACCAAGAAGUGUGCUAAUUGUGUUUAAAUCAAGUACAGUACAACCAGAAGACGUGAAGUACAGAAGUCAGCUACAGUAUAGUAAAACAAAUACUAUACAUCGUCACAACUUAUAUACAACGUUACACAGCUAAAAAUGAGGAAAACGCGUGCGGAAAUACAAAAGGCGUACAAAGAGAGGAAGAAAUUAAAUGACCCUUCAUCUCUGGAAAAUUAAUGUAAACAACAAGCUGAUUAUCGUGUACCUGUUUAUUGAUGAUUUGACAGAUAUGUUACCAUACAUGUUCCUAACUUUGGAUCAUAAUAUGUAUAUUCCAGUAGAAUUAUUUCUGAUUCUUAUCUUUUCAUCGGGAUGAUAAUGUCCGAGUGCGUGUUUGUAUGGAAAAUAAAUCCAAAAUGACAACCUUCUGGGUUAUAUAUAGCAACUGCUGCUAAUUUGACUCUUCCAAUCCAGAGACAAAAACUGUUGACAGUGGUCAUUAUGAAUAGAAAAUGUGGGUUUUUUCUUGUUUGACCAUUAAUGUCAUUAAAAAAAUGUCCUUACAGUGACUGCACAUCACUAAAUGCAGUUCUUAACUGCAAACUUACAUUCAUAUCCAAUGACUAUAUCUGAAACCAACCAUUUUAAAGAGAUAAACUUGUGGUAACGUAUCUGUUAGUUUAUUAAAGACAGCUAAAAAGUGUCAAUUUUUAAAUGCUUUUCCUCAAAAAUCGGGUAUUGUUAAAAAUCGCCCAUGCAUUGUUUCGUGUUGUGCAACUAUUAAAGUUUAUAAUUUUGAAA
rnacentral:lncRNA from 1 species